GACGAACGCUGGCGGCGUGCUUAACACAUGCGAGUCGAACGGAAAGGGCCUGCUUGUUUGUGGUUCUCGAGUCGCGAACGUGUGAGUAACACAGGAGUAACCUUCCCUUUACGGGGUGAUAACUUCAGGAAACUGGGGCUAAUACAGAAGAGGAGCGCCUGCUGCAUGGGGGUGGUUGGAAAGUUUCGGCUGUGGGGGAUGGACUCGAGGGUUAUCAGCUGGUUGGUGGGGGAGUUGCUUACCAAGGCUUUGAAGGGUAGCCUGCAUGAGAGCUUAAACAGCCACCAUGGGACUACGAUAGGCAGCAGUCUGCUACGUGAGGCAGUAGUCGGGAAUCUUGCCCAGUCGGGCGAAGUGUGAUGCAGAAAUGUUGCGUGCGGGAUGAACGUUUUCGGGUUGUAAACCGCUUUAGCCUGUGACGAAGCGUGAUUGACGGUACUGGCUAAAGAAGCACCGGCUAACUACGUG
rnacentral:rRNA from 1 species